GACAAACGCUGGCGGGGUGCGUGAGACAUGCAAGUCGAACGAGGAGCCUCCGAGCUUGCUUGGAGGUUUCCUAGUGGCGGACGGCUGAGUAACGCGUAGGUGACCUACCCGGAAGUGGGGAAUAACUGCCCGAAAGGGUGGCUAAUACCGCAUGUGAUCGGUGAUUCGAUUCACCGCUUAAAGGAGUAAUCCGCUUCCGGCGGGGCCUGCGUUCGAUUAGCUAGUUGGUGGGGUAACGGCUCACCAAGGCGACGAUCGAUAGCUGGUCUGAGAGGAUGAUCAGCCAGACUGGGACUGAGAACGGCCCAGACUCCUACGGGAGGCAGCAGUCGGGAAUUUUGCCCAAUGGACGAAAGUCUGAGGCAGCAACUCCGCGUGAGGGACGAAGGCUCUAGGGUCGUAAACCUCUUUUCUCAGGGAAGAUCCAAGACGGUACCUGAGGAAUAAGCCACGGCUAACUACGUG
rnacentral:rRNA from 1 species